rnacentral:lncRNA from 1 species
CAGAUGAUUUGAAUUGAUAAGCUGAUGUUCUGUGAGGUACAAAAGUUAAUAGCAUGUUAGAGUUCUGAUGGCAGUUGUUGUUUAUGAAUAAGCUUCAUUCCAUCCUAAUACCUUAAAAUAACUAAUUUGCUUUCCUUUCCAGGUAUUCCUGAUGACAGUCUGCCUCUAUCUUACAGAGCAGCUUGUUGCUAUAUACCAUUGAAAAGCCUUCAGAGCUGAGAGGUACUACUAACCAAUAACCUGCUUGGCUCAAAGGGCCAGCACCUUCUCUCUAAAGCCCAAGAGGAGUUUGAGGUAAAUGGCUUUGCAAUAGUUACCAUCAAUGGCUGCUAUAUAAAAUUUUCUGUGAUUUUUGUGUGUGAUAGCACUGUGGUCUGGGUGAAUGUACACAGACAUAACUGGCUUAACCCAAAGUCUUUGAUCUCCUGAACCACCAGUGAUGAAUUGCUGCUCACCAGUGAUGAGUUGAAUACCGCCCCAGUCUGAUCAAUGUGUGACUGAAAGGUAUUUUCUGAGCUGUGAGCCUGCCUUCCAGUGACAUGUUCUAAAAAUUGCAAGUUAUUUGAGGAGGCUUUACAGCCAAUAGGAAGUUCUUGGGCUAAGUAGUGUUUCCUAUAAAAUGUGCCCUGAAACUUCUUUCUGCCAAGCAAUAGAUACAAUUGAGAGAUUGUAAAAUGUGACAUAGAAUGAAAGUCUCUCAAGACUACAUUUUUCUUUCUUGAUUUUGCAGGAAAACUAGGUGUCUGUGUUCACUCCAGGCUGAAGUUACAGGUGAGUAAACCUAAAUGUAAGGUGGACUAUGCUAAAAAUUCCCAAUGAAGAAACUUUCACAUGUCUUACUCUCUGUCCUAGUCCCAGAGCCUGUAAAGGUGAACCCACUGGGACUGGCUGGGGGAGAAGAGGAAGAUUUGUUCCAGAAGGAACUGUCUGAGGGAUGAUAAAGAUUUCUAUACAGAGAAAGGGAGUAAUCAUCACUUGU